rnacentral:rRNA from 1 species
CUGCUGCCUUCCGUAGGAGUCUGGGCCGUGUCUCAGUCCCAAUGUGGCCGUUCAACCUCUCAGUCCGGCUACCGAUCGUCGGCUUGGUGAGCCGUUACCUCACCAACUACCUAAUCGGACGCGAGCCCAUCUUCGAGCGAUAAAAUCUUUGAUACCAGCAGGAUGUCCUCCCGGUAUGUUAUGCGGUAUUAGCGACCGUUUCCAGCCGUUAUUCCCCUCUCGAAGGCAGGUUGCUCACGUGUUACUCACCCGU